CUGGCCUUGACAUCCAGAGAACUUUCCAGAGAUGGAUUGGUGCCUUCGGGAACUCUGAGACAGGUGCUGCAUGGCCGUCGUCAGCUCGUGUCGUGAGAUGUUGGGUUAAGUCCCGUAACGAGCGCAACCCCUAUCCCUGGUUGCUAGCAGGUAAUGCUGAGAACUCCAGGGAGACUGCCGGUGACAAACCGGAGGAAGGUGGGGAUGACGUCAGGUCAUCAUGGCCCGUACGGCCAGGGCUACACACGUGCUACAAUGGCGCGUACAGAGGGCUGCCAACUCGCGAGAGUGAGCCAAUCCCUUAAAACGCGUCGUAGUCCGGAUCGGAGUCUGCAACUCGACUCCGUGAAGUCGGAAUCGCUAGUAAUCGCGAAUCAGAAUGUCGCGGUGAAUACGUUCCC
rnacentral:rRNA from 1 species